rnacentral:rRNA from 1 species
CAUGCAAGUCGAACGGUAAGGUCCCUUCGGGGGCACACGAGUGGCAAACGGGUGAGUAACACGUGGAUAAUCUACCUUGAUGUGGGGGAUAACCCUAAGAAAUUAGGGCUAAUACCGCAUGUGGUCCGGAUUUCAUAAGAAGACCGGAUUAAAGGAGCAAUCCGCAUCUUGACGAGUCCGCGGUCUAUUAGCUAGUUGGUGAGGUAAUGGCUCACCAAGGCUACGAUGGAUAGCCGGCCUGAGAGGGUGAUCGGCCACAUUGGGACUGUGACACGGCCCAGACUCCCACGGGAGGCAGCAGCUAAGAAUCUUGGGCAAUGGGCGAAAGCCUGACCCAGCGACGCCGCGUGGACGAUGAAGGCCUUCUGGGUUGUAAAGUCCUUUUCUACGGGAAGAAUGUUUGUGAAAAAUCAAGCUGACGGUACCGUGGGAAUAAGCCCCGGCUAAUUACGUGCCAGCAGCCGCGGCAAUACGUAAGGGGCAAGCGUAGUUCGGAUUUAUUGGGCGUAAAGGGUGCGUACGCGGACAUGUAAGUCGGAUGUGUAAUCUUCGAGCUCAACUUGGAAACUGCGUCCAAAACUACAUGUCUUGAGUGGAGGAGAGGAAGGCGGAAUUCCUGGUGUAGGAGUGAAAUCUUUAGAUAUCAGGAAGAACACCGGCGGCCUAGGCGGGCUUCUGGCCUCCAACCUGACCGCUCAUGCACGACAGCCGGGGAGCGAACGGGAUUAGAUACCCCGGUAGUCCUGCCGGUAGACGUGGUAUACUAGGUGUAUGAGGCAUCGAUCCCUCAUGUGCCGCAGCUAACGCAUGAAGUAUACCGCCUGGAGAGUAUGCUCGCAAGGGUGAAAUUCAAAGGAAUUGACGGGGGCCCGCACAAGCGGUGGAGCAUGUGGUUUAAGUCGAUGAUACGCGAGGAACCUUACCAGGGUUUGACAUCUGCUGGACCCCCUGAGAGAUCAGGGUUCUCUUCGGAGUUAGUGGACCGGUGCUGCAUGGUUGUCGUCAGCUCGUGUCGUGAGAUGUUGGGUUAAGUCCCGCAACGAGCGCAACCCCUAUCCUCUGUUGCCAACGGAUAAUGCCGGGAACUCAGGGGAAACUGCCGUCGAAAGGCGGAGGAAGGUGGGGAUGACGUCAAAUCCUCAUGGCCCUUAUGCCCUGGGCUACACACGUGCUACAAUGGGUGGUACAAAGAGUCGCAACACCGCGAGGUAGAGCUAAUCUCAAAAAACCACUCUCAGUUCAGAUUGAAGUCUGAAACCCGACUUCAUGAAGCCGGAAUCGCUAGUAAUCGUACAUCAGCACGGUACGGUGAAUACGUUCCCGGGCAUUGUACACACCGCCCGUCACAUCACCCGAGUUGGAUGUACCCGAAGUCGCUGAGCUA